rnacentral:rRNA from 1 species
UACGUAGGGGGCUAGCGUUGUCCGGAUUUAUUGGGCGUAAAGAGCGUGUAGGCGGCCAAGUAGGUCCGGUGUGAAAACUCGAGGCUUAACCUCGAGAUGUCAUCGGAAACCAUUUGGCUAGAGUCCGGAAGAGGAAAGUGGAAUUCCUGGUGUAGCGGUGAAAUGCAUAGAUAUGUCACAGAACACCAAUUGCGAAGGCAGCUUACUAAGGUGCAAUUGACGCUGAGGCACGAAAGCGUGGGGAUCAAACAGG